GUUGACCUUCGUCUCUUUGCCAUAUUUCUGAUUUGUUGUUUUCAAUUUGUUUUCCACUAUUGCAGCGUUUUUGUCAAUUAUCAUAUUGAUCUGAUCUCUGACACGAACUGUUUUAUUAUGGUGUAAGGUUUGUGUAAUUUCUGACACAAUGCAGGAGAAAGAUGUUAGGUUGACUUUGUCUGUAAUAGUGGACGAAAUAAAACGUCAAGAUUUGUUAACUCCUGAUGCAAGAUCGUGAUUUUUUAGCAAAAUACUGAUGGUUAUGGAUGCACAGAAAUUGCAAUGUUACGUACAUCAAUUGACCAAUUCCGAUUACGACCAGUUCAAUAUUUCACUCGUUUCACCUUAUUCUUAAUUUUUAUAUAAGAAAAUUGUACAAUUUAGC
rnacentral:lncRNA from 1 species